UAUUGCAAAAUGCCUCGCAAGCAUUGUACUAAUGUGGGAAGAUAGAAUGCAAUUCCGUUUCUUACCCAUAUCAAGAUUGGAAGGAGGAUUUUUGAUCUUGGAGCCCCGGGAAUAGCCUUAACACGUGCUCAGCAUGUGCCCAUUCGCAAAAUCCAAGGGGCCAAUUUUAUCGAGGCAUUGAAAAAUGAUUUCCGCAUCACCGGAGGAUGCGCGCUUUGUUGAACCGGACUACUGAACCGGUACGCCGGCCUCCUCAGCACGACUCGACAUGCUUUUUUACAAGGAAAAAACGCACGUAUCCCUCACGAUCGGAAACGAGGAUAAAGAUAAACCCUCACGUGUUUGUUGUUUUGCCCUUUCUCUGUCAAUCGAAGAAAGCGAAAACAAAGAAAUUGCAACAAUGCAAUGCUUCUGGUAUUGAGACGAAUCGACUUCCUUUUUCUCAAAUCAGAUCAGAAAACAGUUUUCGAUUUUUAUUUCUAGUUUCGAUUUCAAUAACAAAACGAGAAGGAAAGAAAUAAGGAAAAUGGCUUCGAAUCCUGCCCUGAAGCCCGAGAUCGGACCCGAUGGACUCGCUAGGGAAGCUCCUGUCAUCGCCUACACUGAGAAGAUAAUCGAGGAAGAGCAGCUUCAACUCAAGAAAUACAUAGAAGAAAAUUAUUCUAAAAUACGUGAUGUUGAAAGAGAACUAUCAAAUCUUACAAUGGAGAUGAAACUCACCGCUGGGCCUAAAAAAGCAGCCCUAGAACAUUUGAGAAAGAAAAUAGAAAUGUCAACUGAGAGAAUUCACAUUGCUAAGCAGAAGGAAGAGCAAGCACGAAAGAUAUGGGAAGCAGCCGUAAAGGCUCUGAAUGAUGAGGAAGCAAUUAAGCAGAAGUUAUGUGAGGACUUAAACAAUCUGGUUCAAGAAAGCAGUAACUCCCAGUUUGCUCGACUUGAGGAAUUGAAAAGACGAUUGGAAGCUCUGAACCCAAGUAGAGCAUCCAUGUUGUCUCAUCAUGACAGGAAAGCAAUUGGAUCUGCACAAGGUGCUGCAACUGUAGAUGCUUCCUCAGUUCCUCAAACAACACAAUCGGGCUCUACUGCUUCUGAAAAUGUACCGAAUCAACGUAAUGAUGGAAAUGUUUCAGCUAUGAAUGGGCAGAAUCAACUGCCCACAAAUGAUGGAGAAGUAAAAGGAAAGAAGAAAAGCCAGUUUCAAGGAAGAGGAAAGGGGAUUGGGGCUGUGCCCAAGGGUAGAGGAUCUGCAGCACCUGGCUGGACAGGAGCAGGGUUUGAUGUGGAUGGUAGAACUUAGAAGCAUCAUUUAGUUCUUCUGUUUUCUUUGCUGAAGGAUCAGAGCAAACUAUGAGUGUUUGCACAUUUUAUGGGGACUGAUAUAUAUCAUUAGUAUUGUCUUCAAGCAGGAGUCAUUCAGAAACUAUCUCUUUAAAAAACUCUAAAAAAGGAAAACUCUCUCUCUCUCUGGUAUCAAAAGCUGAAGCCUGAAUUUUAUGGAAAAGUUUUUAUCUAAACGAAUGUAUUGACUUGUCUGAUAGAUGGAAGGCCUGUGUUUUGAAAGUUAUGCCAUUGAGGUGUUCCUGCAUAAGGUAAAUCCUCUGGAUGAUCUUGAACACCUAAGGAUCUGUUUGGUUUAGGUUGGAAAGGAGGGGAAGCGAGAUGCUCAAAGUUAUAGCACUAGUAUGGUAUCUGCAUAAACCUCUUUUGCUGAAUCUUGUGCAAACUCUCUGUUAUGAGAUGAUAACUGUUAUUGUGCUUAUUGGCAAAUGUGUAACUCUGGCUUUUGUGAAGAAUUAAUUAGGACUAAUUAUGGUGAGCAGAGAUAAUCCUAUACUUGGUAAUGAGAAUGCAGGAAAGAAAGGGACAAUUAGAGUAUGCAUUUUUGUGUCAGAUUAAUUAAUUAUUGUUUCAAGGCACUUUGGCAUUUAAUACUUCAUCUUCUAUACGUUCAUAUGAUGCAACAGUUUUACACUUAUAUGUAAUGUGCUGAUGCUCCCUUGAGGCCUUUCGCAUGUUGUUACCUUUAUAUGGUUUUCAACACCUUGCUCUCAAUAUUCCAAUAAAUCAUUUAUAAUGGUUCUAAUUAUGUAUUUAGGUUUCAUGUGGUUUAAACUCACUUGACUCUUUCCAAAGUACCAAAUGAUAAAAUUGCUUGGAAAUGUACAGUUAAGGCCCUGGUUGGGUUAGAGGUUGUAUGAUUGGCAUCCUCUGGACUAUGUGUUGAACUUCAUGAAGCAUGACCUGGUCCUACUGUCUAUGUUCACAGUACUGCAUCAUUGUGUCCAUCGCUGCUUUAGAUGAUUUCAAUUACAUAUGUUUGUACCACAUCAUACUUGAUUAACACAUCAUCUUUAUUUCUGUUGUCUUUACCCUUACUUGCAUUCUAUCAAUCGCAUAUAGCUCGUUCAUAUGAAUGAUGCUAUUUGGCUUAUCUUUCUUAUUCAUUUCCAGGAGUCUUCAGAAACUCUCUUUAAAAAACUAUAAAAAAAAAAAGGAAAACUCUCUCUCUCUCUCUCUCUCUUUGGUGUCAAAAGCUGAAACCUGAUUUUUAUGAAAAAGAAUCUUCCUAAAUGAAUAUGAGAACGUGUCUAAUUGAUGGAGGACUUGGGUUUUGAAAGUUAUGCCAUUGUGGUGUUCCCGCAUAAGGUAAAUCCUCUGGAUGAUCUUGAACACCACAGGGUCUGUGAUGUAGCAGUUUUACACUUACAUAUAAUGUGCUAAUGCUCCCUUGAGGCCUUUCCCUUGUUCUUACCUUUACAUGAUUUUCAACACCUUGCUCUCAGUAGUCCAAUAAUUCAUUUAUAUAUGGCUCUAAUUAUG